GACGAACGCUGGCGGCGUGCUUAACACAUGCAAGUCGAACGGUAAGGCCCUUCGGGGUACACGAGUGGCGAACUGGUGAGUAACACGUGGGUGAUCUGCCCUGCACUUCGGGAUAAGCCGGGGAAACUGGGUCUAAUACCGGAUAGGACCACUGCCUGCAUGGGUGGUGGUGGAAAGCUUUUGCGGUGUGGGAUGGGCCCGCGGCCUAUAGGCUGGUUGGUGGGGUGAUGGCCUACCAAGGCGACGACGGGUAGCCGGCGUGAGAGGGGGACCGGCCACCCUGGGACUGAGAUACGGCCCAGACCCCUACGGGAGGCAGCAGUGGGGAAUAUUGCACAAUGGGCGCAAGCCUGAUGCAGCGACGCCGCGUGAGGGAUGACGGCCUUCGGGUUGUAAACCUCUUUCAGCACCGACGAAGCGCAAGUGACGGUAGGUGCAGAAGAAGGACCGGCCAACUACGUGCCAGCCGCCGCGGUAA
rnacentral:rRNA from 1 species